AGCACAAAGAAGCAUCCAUCUUAAUCUGUGGCACAUGGUCAUCCAAGGACAAACCUACAUCCCACACACAGAGCAUUUCUGCCAUUUCUAUCACCUUGAUAAGCUAUUCAAGAACAGUCAUCUGCCAUAGGUUGUCUUUUACCUAAACAUACUUACGCAGCUAGGAGAAUGGCUGCUGUUCCCACAAGUUGCAAUUUUCCUCUGAGGACCGACAUGCAAGAAAGAAAUCUGUCCAAGUAGUUCACAGCAAGGCCUUUCAUCAUUUUAGAUGCUCUCAUGAAGAUACCUUCAGAAUUGCCAAUGUGCUUCCUAGAAUGGGUUGAUGGCCUAGUGUUUUAGUUGUGAUCUGAUCAACAUAGAAAAAAGAGGAAUGAUGACUUCUCUUGAUCCUGACAGGAUGCUUCUUUAUGUAUAUUUGGAAAUCUAGGAUUUCAUUUGCUUUUUUUGAAGCUCCCUCAUAUAAUUGGUUCAUAUUUAGCUUGUGACC